UACGAAGGGGGCUAGCGUUGUUCGGAAUCACUGGGCGUAAAGCGCUCGUAGGCGGAUCUUUAAGUCAGGGGUGAAAUCCCGAGGCUCAACCUCGGAACUGCCUUUGAUACUGGGGAUCUCGAGUCCGGGAGAGGUGAGUGGAACUGCGAGUGUAGAGGUGAAAUUCGUAGAUAUUCGCAAGAACACCAGUGGCGAAGGCGGCUCACUGGCCCGGUACUGACGCUGAGGAGCGAAAGCGAGGGGAGCAAACAGGG
rnacentral:rRNA from 1 species